AGAAUAGCGACGACGACUCCUACGCUCCCGACGGUGUACUGCAGCAGCACCCGACGACACCAACAAUUCCAAUCGCGAUCGAUCUCAAUUCUUGACACCCACCACCUGACAGCUGCAGAUCUGCAAGUUUGAACCCCUGUUCAGCAAGCUCAAGCUCGUUUGGUGAAAGCUAAUUACUGAGUGAGAAAUGUCGUACUUGCUGCCACAUCUUCAUUCUGGAUGGGCUGUUGACCAGGCAAUCCUCGCUGAAGAAGAACGGCUUGUGGUCAUUCGUUUCGGUCAUGACUGGGACGAAACUUGUAUGCAGAUGGAUGAAGUGUUGGCCUCAGUUGCAGAGACGAUUAAGAACUUUGCUGUA
rnacentral:misc_RNA from 1 species